rnacentral:rRNA from 1 species
UGGGGAAUAUUGGACAAUGGGCGCAAGCCUGAUCCAGCAAUGCCGCGUGUGUGAAGAAGGCCUUCGGGUUGUAAACACUUUUUAUCAGGAGCGAAACGCUGUCGGCUAAUACCCGGCGGAACUGACGGUACCUGAGGAAUAAGCACCGGCUAACUUCNUGCCAGCAGCCGCGGUAAUACGAAGGGUGCAAGCGUUAAUCGGAAUUACUGGGCGUAAAGCGUCGUNGGCGGUUUCUUAAGUCUGCUGUGAAAUCCCCGGGCUCAACCUGGGAAUGGCAGUGGAUACUGGGAGGCUAGAGUGUGUCAGAGGGUGGUGGAAUUCCCGGUGUAGCGGUGAAAUGCGUAGAGAUCGGGAGGAACAUCAGUGGCGAAGGCGGCCACCUGGGGACAACACUGACGCUGAGGCACGAAAANCGUGGGGAGCAAACAGGAUUAGAUACCCUGGUAGUCCACGCCCUAAACGAUGCGAACUGGAUNUGGUCUCAACUCGGAGAUCAGUGUGAAGCUAACGCGUUAAGUUCGCCGCCUGGGGAGUACGUCGCAAGACUGAAACUAAAGGAAUUGACGGGGUCAUAGCU